rnacentral:rRNA from 1 species
UCUGAUGUUAGCGGCGGACGGGUGAGUAACACGUGGAUAACCUACCUAUAAGACUGGGAUAACUUCGGGAAACCGGAGCUAAUACCGGAUAAUAUUUUGAACCGCAUGGUUCAAAAGUGAAAGACGGUCUUGCUGUCACUUAUAGAUGGAUCCGCGCUGCAUUAGCUAGUUGGUAAGGUAACGGCUUACCAAGGCAACGAUGCAUAGCCGACCUGAGAGGGUGAUCGGCCACACUGGAACUGAGACACGGUCCAGACUCCUACGGGAGGCAGCAGUAGGGAAUCUUCCGCAAUGGGCGAAAGCCUGACGGAGCAACGCCGCGUGAGUGAUGAAGGUCUUCGGAUCGUAAAACUCUGUUAUUAGGGAAGA